rfam:Ceratocystis platani strain CFO contig_00003 mitochondrial, whole genome shotgun sequence.
AAGAGUAUGACUUAACUGGUAAAGCACUAAGCUUCAACCUUAUAAUUCUUGGUUCGAAUCCAAGUGCUCUUG